AAGCAUCGUCAAACUGUCAUGCAUAAAACAUUAACAUUAACGAAAACAAUUUGUGAAUGCGACCUAUGGAGAAUUCCUCGACCCACGUCCUCGUUUUGUCCAAUGGAGAAAUCACAGAAUGUUCUAAGAAUUUUUUAACUUUCUAUCGACAUUAAAAAUGCAUCUGAUUUUGGCGUGCGUGUGUGUGUGUGUCUGUGUGUAGAUUAUGUGGGAAUAUUAACGAAAGCAAUUUCUAAUGUGAUUUAUAGCGAAUUUCUGAAUCUACGCUCAAUUACUUGAGGAAUAAAAGAGGAGAAAAGGGCACAAAAGAUAAAAUGUUCGCGAUAUUAAGCGAUCCGAGGAUUAAGGUAAUCCUCUUCGAGGAAUUUCUUGCUAUUUUAUUAACAUCAAAGAUCAUUUUCGUCAUGUACGGAUUAUUUAUUGCUGUAAAUAAUUUAUUAUUAAAUGCUUGUCAAAUAGUAAUGAUAAAUAUAAAUAAUAGUAGUAAUAAGUAUCAGUAAUAAGUAAUAAACAAAAGUAAUUCGCGACACAAUUUAUAGAACAUUUCGAAAUCUACUUGUUUCGUGAAAGAAUAAAAUUUAAAAAAUCGAAAUAUGAAGUAGUUUGAAAAUUUCGAUAGCUGUAGAAAUUCCAUACAAAAACAGUUUCACGAAACGUAGAUAAACAAAGAUAAACAGGGGCAGAUCAAGAUGAAUCGUAAAAAAAGGGGUUCGUGUUCUGUAUCAGACUAUGAUAUUUUCGCCGAGAAUGGAUUUCUUCUGAAAGUCUGGACAGACGCAUCGCAACCGUCGUACAUCAUCUAAAAUUGCGAUCAUAGCAUCGUAUCCGGUGAUGCAAUCGCGAUUUUUCCGUUGUAUCGUGUUGUUGAUGGUGACAAAAAGCACAGACUGCGGUGAAAUUAAUCGACAGAGGAUAUUAGCGAGCAGAGUAUCUGAUACGUAAUGAUUUAAUGACAAAAAGAUUUCUCAUUCUCGGCGUAUCUUUCUAGAUAACAAAUUCGUCCAUGGAUAUACUAUUAGGUCGUCCGAAAAGUUUCUUUCGUUUUAUAAGCAAAUAAUGGUUGCACAACAUUUUCCGUUUUAUAUUAUUUUAUCGAAUUACGUAUGAUGCAUCUUGUUCUAUCAAGAUGAAGAUCACAACGUUUGACAAGUUAGGCUUCAUGUUUGCAUAAAAAUGCAUGUGUAAAAGAAAGACACUUUUCGGACAAAAAGUUCAGCACAUAUUUUGGAAAAGAUGAAGGCAAAAGAAUUGCUGCUUCAGAGUUCCAAUAACUGUGAGCGAUUAGAAAGAAGAUACGAUAAAGUUGGAUAUAAAAUCUUUAAUUAAAUAAUACACAUAAAAUAAUACCUAUAGUGCGAAUUUUUAUGCAUUUGUGAGAAUUUGUAAAAUAUCAAAAAGCACAUAAUACGUAAAGAUAUAUAAAAUAUCUAAGACAUAGUAUUAGUUAUAAUAUUUAAUAAACAAAACAAAUAUCUCCACGAAUGCUUACAAUUUAAUAAUGUUUAAACGCUAGAAAAUGCUUGUAUGUCAAAGAAAUUCAAAAUCGAAGGUAUAUGAAAGAAUGCAUUAUACAAGAGAAAAAUAAUCAUUUUCAAAUACGCUAAAACGCAUCGUUACAGAUCUAUAGAAAAUCUCUCGAAAAACUGACAAAUUAUUCGCUUUGAUCGCUUUGGUAAUUCCACACUUUAUAAAUCCCAUUACGUCAUUCGUUAAAAAGGAUCAGAUAUUACGCAAUAAAAUUUCAAAAGCCAAAAUCAAAGUCGACUCUUAUUUUAAUUAAAAUUCCAAUCAAUGGAGAGCAGAUUACGUUUCUCUACCCUCGGAUGUAUCAAGUGUGGUGGCACGCAAAAAUCCGAUACCGUCUCAUCGGUUCAGGCCAAUUAACCUAAGAAGAAGCGGUCCGAAUCCUGGUCUUCGCGGUUUCGUCCAUUGGCGCGGGAGAUGUCGAAGGACGCAUGGAGGUGGAGGAAUAGACAAGGUUGAAACGAAAGGUAGAAAAAGCGGGUGUUCGUGGAUCGCAAGGGUGCGGUUGCCUAGCUACUACGUGACGUCAUCUGUGACGCAGUCGAACAAGAGGAAACAUCCGCAUCGGAGUGACAAGGAUGUGCGAUAGAGAGCGAGGUCACAGCGUCAUCAUCCACUGGGAUCCACUGAGAAGGUGGAUUGACCAGAUUAAACGUAUCUUUUCUUCGAGUUCGCACCGAGACCUUUUCUACUCACGGGGCUAAUUUCAUCUACGCCGGAAAGGGUUGACAGAAAUGUAAAACACAUCGACCAGAAAAUACGCCAUUUCCGGUAUGCGCUUAGAUUAUUUCCGCUACCGGAUACCAGCGUUUGGUAUUGCGUUUUGGCCCAUUGGUAUAGCACGCGUAAACGUCUGAUCGUAGUAGCGUGGAACGACCUACGGUUUGACACGAGAAACGUUGGAGCGAUUCUAUGUUCUACUAUUAUUUCAUUCUCGCUUAUUGCAUAAAAUUGGUGUUUCUAUUAACUACAAUAAAUAUUUUAAUACAUUAAAA